rnacentral:lncRNA from 1 species
UACAUUUCUAUCCUUGCGUGUAAUGGAUGAAAGCACACGCAUCGCUUAGGCAAGAAAUUAACCUUUCUUCAGGGUUUGGAAAGAUGUAGAAGAAGUGGAUGAUACAGAGUGGUAUGUUGUAAGAUAUGUUACGAUGACUCUGUAUAUAACUACUGCACAAUUACAUGGUGUCCGUCGUAUUGUACUCUGUACAGUGGGGAGUGGGCCGGCCGGCAUGGCGCAGACGGGCCGGGCCAGUCCCAACUGUCCAACCUUAGAGUAACUUACUUUGUUCUCUUGUACGUAUUGACUCAUACGGUAUCUCCCUUGCAUGAUACGUCCCUGCAGGCUGUCAGGCACAUCCAUACGUAGUUACUUACGUACUACAGAAUGGCAUGCAUGAUCAAUCUCGAGUUUUUAUUCUCGUGGUUCGCAUCACUUCGCGUCAUGUGGAGUAUCCUCUUUUCUUUUUGCUCGCUCAAGUUGCAUCGCAACCCUCACAUUCCAAGUUUUUCUUGCAUCUCUUGUCUGUGGCUAACUGUCCAUCAAAGUUUUGUCUCGUACCCAUUUCUAUGCUUUGCUUCCGAGAGGAUCUGAGCUCUCGAUCGCUCUUGUCACCCACUAUCACCCUAUCACUGUCUCAUUCAUGGACGUGUUAAAUUCACCCUUUCACCCUAUCACCCGUAAAUAGCCAUUGGGGUUUGGUACUGUAUUAGACACAUCUGUGGACGCACGGCUAUCGACGGGAUUGGAGUAGGUAGAUCAUUGGUCAUUUCUCUUGUGACUCAAGCCAUUUCCGUUUUUGGUGAUACUCCAUGAGUGCAUAGUACCUUGUGACGAUUCCAAUAGUUUGAUAUAGAGCAUUGUAAGGUUAAUAUCACUUUUAUACAGUACAUAUCUAGGGAAAUAACUAAUCAUGGUCACUUAGUUAACUAAGGCCUUACUAAAGCUUGAGUAAUCACAAAGUUGUUUAGUAACGGCGUACGGAGUAGUUCUCAGAUAGGCACUACUAGCACGAACCGACCCUACACUACUACACCGAACUAAACCUGUACCAGUAGAGUCGGUAAUCGGAUCAGGCGACGAGGCCGGGUCCACUUUCCUUGACUUUCCAUCAUCGAGUCGUGGCCCUUCCACUCCGUACCAUCAAUUAGUUAGUCUAUCUAUCAUCUACGCUUGAUGAAUUUUAAAUUUCCUCUCGCUUGAUGUUAUUCAUUUCCAAUAAAUCUCGCGUGAAGCAGCCCCUUUUUAUGACGACCCUGUGCUACUAAUACUCCACUGAUCGAACAUGGACUAUCUUACCUUUGUUGCACCGAAAAAGCAAAAUCAAAACUCUGCUUCUUUUCUCCCGCCACUAACAGCUCAACCUUCCGGAGCUGAAAGUUCGCCAGUAAAUUAAUUUCAGAGAUCUUGCCCAAACCGCCGGGAAUACCUGAUGCUAGCUUUUACGUUGUACUAGACGAGUCAGUUCGUGUCAUGCUUGUCCGAGCGUUCGUACAUUCGGUCGACCAACCCUGAUUCUAAUUGGAUUUGAUGUGGCGGUGGGAGAAGGGUUCAGAUGCUGGUUGACGUUUUCUUAAGUUAUCUUCCGUUUGUAUCCGUUCAGCUGGUUCUUUAUGAUGCUUAUGCAGCUCGUAUGAUGCCAUAUUCGGACUCGCUUCUUCCAGUUUGGUUUUUUUUUUUCCAGACGGUAAUGCCGUCAGCCCAGCCACGUUCCAUGCCUGGUCCAGCCGGCAACAUGAAACAGAAUCAUCUGAUGGAAUGUAAGGUAAGUUAUUCUCUGUAUCCAUAAUAACAUAGAUACAUACCCAGUAUACACAUAUGCGAACUACCGAGCAAUACUGCCAUGACCUACCUUCGAUGGACGCCUUCUAGGAAGCAAGGGGCUGAUGUUUGAUCCCUUUCCCUCGUAACUGACACAACAAGCAUGAAACACCCUGAGCUUGACAGGACCAGCAAAGCAUAUGAUUGGCGUAUACGGGACGACAUGAUAAUGACUUGCAUAAUCUUGCUCCGUCCAUGGGAGAUCUAACCUCGCUUAAACAUGAGGACUAGACGAAAUACGAGGUUUUUGUGCUACCCUAACUUGCAUAUGUCACUGGUAAGAUAAGCAAUCGACCUUUGAUCCUUUGAUUACAUGCAUAGACUGGGACAUUCUGCAUGUUACACACGCAUCCGUCCAAUGAUGCAAGUAUUUGUAAGUGGAAUCAUUCCUGGAAAUAUGUACUUCUGUAAGUUAUCGAUGAUAUGGAACAAAGCAAGAAGAAGGCGUACAUAGAAAAAAGAAAUUGUAAAUCAAAGAAAUGAUCAGAUCUCCAAUUAACAGCCUCAAUGCACGGUACAUAGCUACCGAGUGAUCAUCAGAGAGAUUUGGAAUAGAACCAGGCGAGUUUAAAAUCUCGAUAGGACCUAAUUCAGGUAGUAUUCAUAUCUGUCUAUCCAAAAUACUGAUGAUAAAUAAGCUUGGGAUUUAACUAUGAGUAUGCGAUGUGAUUACAGGGUUCUUCCAUCUAGUACUUGGCCUCCAAGCCCUAAUCCAAGAUCUCAGAUCGCCGGCCCGAGAUCAAUAUCCAAGAUCAGAGCCCGAGUUUGUACAACCACACAUCAACCCUAAAAUACUCCUUGGGAGAACGCCUGUUCACGCCUGAUGAAACCAAAUCAUGUACUGCAGCAUAAAAAGCAAGAUCAGCCCAGUUUACACGUCAGCCACGUGCCAGUCAACCAUGUGUAUGAGUUGACUAGCAGCUAGUUAUGUUUCAACUCGUAAAUGUCCAUACCACGAACACUUUCGCGGAAUGCAGUACUACGCACUAUUGAAAUUUGACACAAG